CAUUAAAAAAUUCAUCCAUUUGUAUUGUUAAAGAUUAGUGUGGUUGAUGGAAUAAUUUGACAGUGACGUGGCGUGCCGCAUGUUUGACGUAUAGAGACCAGUUUUAAUAGUAGAAAUAGAUGAAAAUUUUAACA
rfam:Gossypium raimondii Chr05_contig_1355, whole genome shotgun sequence.